rnacentral:rRNA from 1 species
GAAUUACAUGCCCUUCAGUGGGGAAUAGCCCAGGGAAACUUGGAUUAAUACCCCAUGGUAUCGCGAGAUUAAAGGUGGCCGCAAGGCUGUCGCUGAAGGAUUGGUUCGCGCCCUAUCAGCUUGUUGGUGAGGUAACGGCUCACCAAGGCUACGACGGGUACCUGGUCUGAGAGGACGAUCAGGCACACUGGAAUUGAGACACGGUCCAGACACCUACGGGUGGCAGCAGUCGAGAAUAAUUCACAAUGGAGGCAACCCUGAUGGUGCAACGCCGCGUGGAGGACGAAGGUCUUCGGAUUGUAAACUCCUGUCAUCUGGGAGUAAGACCUGGCUGUGAAUAGCAGACAGGGUUGAUAGUACCAGAAGAGGAAGGGACGGCUAACUUCGUGCCAGCAGCCGCGGUAAUACGAAGGUCCCGAGCGUUGUUCGGAAUCACUGGGCGUAAAGGGAGCGUAGGCGGCGUGGUAAGUCAGAUGUGAAAUCCCGGGGCUCAACCCCGGAACUGCAUCCGAUACUGCCGUGCUAGAGGAUUGGAGAGGUAGCUGGAAUUCUUGGU